GACGAACGCUGGCGGCGUGCCUAAUACAUGCAAGUUGAGCGCUGAAGGUUGGUACUUGUACCAACUGGAUGAGCAGCAAACGGGUGAGUAACGCGUGGGGAAUCUGCCUUUGAGCGGGGGACAACAUUUGGAAACGAAUGCUAAUACCGCAUAAAAACUUUAAACACAAGUUUUAAGUUUGAAAGAUGCAAUUGCAUCACUCAAAGAUGAUCCCGCGUUGUAUUAGCUAGUUGGUGAGGUAAAGGCUCACCAAGGCGAUGAUACAUAGCCGACCUGAGAGGGUGAUCGGCCACAUUGGGACUGAGACACGGCCCAAACUCCUACGGGAGGCAGCAGUAGGGAAUCUUCGGCAAUGGACGAAAGUCUGACCGAGCAACGCCGCGUGAGUGAAGAAGGUUGUCGGAUCGUAAAACUCUGUUGGUAGAGAAGAACGUUGGUGAGAGUGGAAAGCUCAUCAAGUGACGGUAACUACCCAGAAAGGGACGGCUAACUACGUG
rnacentral:rRNA from 1 species